GAGAGUAUAGUUCAGUGGUAGAGUACAUGCCCGGCAUGUGUGAAGCUGUGGGUUCAAUUCCCAGUCUUCCCA
rnacentral:tRNA from 1 species